AUCCAGAUGAUGAGUCUCAAAUAGGAUGAAGCGCUUGUUCUGGAU
rnacentral:hammerhead_ribozyme from 1 species